rnacentral:rRNA from 1 species
AGAGUUUGAUCAUGGCUCAGGAUGAACGCUAGCGGCAGGCUUAAUACAUGCAAGUCGUGGGGCAGCAUGAAGUAGCAAUACUUUGAUGGCGACCGGCAAACGGGUGCGGAACACGUACACAACCUUCCUUUUAGUGGGGAAUAGCCCAGAGAAAUUUGGAUUAAUACCCCGUAACAUAGCGAUGUGGCAUCACAUUGCUAUUAUAGCUUCGGCGCUAGAUGAUGGGUGUGCGUAUGAUUAGAUAGUUGGCGAGGUAACGGCUCACCAAGUCUACGAUCAUUAGCUGAUGUGAGAGCAUGAUCAGCCACACGGGCACUGAGACACGGGCCCGACUCCUACGGAAAUCUUCAGUAAGGAAUAUUGGUCAAUGGACGAAAGUCUGAACCAGCCAUGCCGCGUGAAGGACUAAGGUCCUCUGGAUUGUAAACUUCUUUUAUAUGGGACGAAAAAAGGUCUUUCUAGAUCACUUGACGGUACCAUAUGAAUAAGCACCGGCUAACUCCGUGCCAGCAGCCGCGGUAAUACGGAGGGUGCAAGCGUUAUCCGGAUUCACUGGGUUUAAAGGGUGCGUAGGCGGGGUAAUACGGAGGUGGUGAAAUCCUGGAGCUCAACUCCAGAACUGCCAUUGAUACUAUCUGUCUUGAAUAUUGUGGAGGUAAGCGGAAUAUGUCAUGUAGCGGUGAAAUGCUUAGAUAUGACAUAGAACACCCAUUGCGAAGGCAGCUUACUACGCAUAUAUUGACGCUGAGGCACGAAAGCGUGGGGA